rnacentral:rRNA from 1 species
AUUGAACGCUGGCGGCGUGCUUAACACAUGCAAGUCGAGCGGUAACAGGUGUAGCAAUACAUGCUGACGAGCGGCGAACGGGUGAGUAAUGCUUCGGAAUCUUCCUCGUAGUGGGGAAUAACCUGGGGAAACUCAGGCUAAUACCGCAUACGAACUACGGUUGAAAGCAGGGGAUCGCAAGACCUUGCGCUAUGAGAUGAGCCGAAGUCGGAUUAGCUAGUUGGUGAGGUAAAGGCUCACCAAGGCGACGAUCCGUAGCGGGUCUGAGAGGAUGAUCCGCCACACUGGGACUGAGACACGGCCCAGACUCCUACGGGAGGCAGCAGUGGGGAAUUUUGGACAAUGGGCGAAAGCCUGAUCCAGCCAUGCCGCGUGUCUGAAGAAGGCCUU